UAUAAAGUAAAACCCAAAAGACACGAUGUUCACGGGCGCUGUCGCGGGCCGCAAAUUAAAUCUCUUUAUUGAGCUGUUACGUGAGUAAAUGCUCAGGGAUCAGUUUAAAAUUAGGAAGCACGAAGGAUGUAAUUCGAUAAAUGUGACAAAAUCCUUCACAAAUAUAGCAUAAAAUAUGAUACAACUUUUAAAUCCUUGUCAGGUCGCUAGCAGGACACGGGCAGAUACUUUAUAAGGCCAUAUACUGUAACACUGGCUCCUGCCACCUCACUCGACACAUACCCAUAGUCGCAGCCCCUGAAAUAUGAAAUAUGGGAUAUGAUGACGACGGCUUGGCCAGCUUCUAAUUAGGGAGUCUCCCAUAUGUCAGGCCAGUAGGAAUAUAGUCUGGGGAUAUAUAAGGCCGGGCCUGAGGUGCUACUGUGGGGACAUUGGCUGGAACUGCCGGCUUUACUCGUGUUACAGGGCAGCAGCAGCAGCGGGGCAGGAUGAGAGGCUGGAGAUGUCCACAAAUACCUUCGCCCAAGAACCUUGUGCCGUGUAUCGUCUGUAGCGGAUCCAUCGUCUACGCCGGACGCACGAGUUCCACUUCUUGUCGGGGGAGAAGUUGGCUGGGAAAUCAACGGCGUACUCCCAACCCUAUGGUCCAGGGAGCGAAUUAUCAAUCAAAUCUCUGAUCCACAUACCAGUCUCCUUCCCACUCCCAGCUGCGGGAGGGCAGCUGGAAGCUGUGGAGCGGUUGAGGAUUCAUCCCGGUCACGUCGCUCCACGGCCAGCGGUCGGUGGGCAGCAGCGUGUCGGUGAAGCCGUCCACUGGGUU